AUUGAACGCUGGCGGCAGGCCUAACACAUGCAAGUCGAACGAGUGGCGGACGGGUGAGUAAUGUCUGGGAAACUGCCCGAUGGAGGGGGAUAACUACUGGAAACGGUAGCUAAUACCGCAUACCAUCAGAUGUGCCCAGAUGGGUUUAGCUAGGAGGUGGGGUAACGGCUCACCUUGGCUACGAUCCCUAGCUGGUCUGAGAGGAUGACCAGCCACCCUGGAACUGAGACACGGUCCGGACUCCUACGGGAGGCAGCGUUGGGGAAUAUUGCACAAUGGGCGCAAGCCUGAUGCAGCCAUGCCGCGUGUAUGAAGAAGGCCUUCGGGUUGUAAAGUACUUUCAGCGAGGAGGCGUUACUCGCAGAAGAAGCACCGGCUAACUCCGUGCCAGCAGCCGCGGUAAUAC
rnacentral:rRNA from 1 species